GGGUAUAUAGCUCAGCUUGGUAGAGCACUGGACUUUUAAUCCAUUGGUCUUGGGUUCGAAUCCCAAUGUACUCA